rnacentral:lncRNA from 1 species
GUAUCCUCACAGUGUUUCCUUACAAAGAAGAGAAGCUACAGGCAGUAGAGCUGAUAAAAGGCGGAAUUGUAUUUCACACCAAAAUUUAACAGUUUGGAGCACAAAAGUUUUCUUAUGGUCUCUCAGUGUCACUGGUACCAACUAUUUCUUUGUUGCUCUGUCACUGCGUAUUUUCCCAAGGGCGGCAGAAAUCAUUACCAAUCUUUAGCUCCUGAUUUCUAUCACAUUCCAGCACAUGGAACGUACCUUUCAAUAAUUCUAAAACCUGUAUAAUACAAAAGAUUCUAUUCUAUUCUAUUCUAUUCUAUUCUAUUCUAUUCUAAAUUUUUUGUGGGUAGAGGGAUAGAAGUUUAUUAAGCAGAGAUACAGCAAAACUCUCAGAAGUGAGAGAGGUCCUAACCGGGUUGCCGGAUAUAAAAUAUUUUAAUAUUAUGUUUUCCAAAGAGAGCCCUUUUCAUUGUACACAUGUGCAUCUCACAGGCUGAUGAAGGUAGUGUGCUGAGCAGCUUCCAUCUGAGUUUUGCUGUCUGUGAAAUGGAAGGACUCCUACCUACCCUGAACAGGGCAUCAGUGAGACGGCUCAUUCUCCACAUUACUAAUGGGACAUCUAGACAGUUUAUUUUUCAUGGAUCGUUCUUAGCAUGCUGUGUGAGCAAGUGCCAGCUGACUCAGCAUAUCCUCAACCAGAGAAGUGUUUCUCCGUGAAUGCAAAGCUGAGACCUAAAUCGCUAAGGGCGAUGAAUCGUGGGUACCUACUUUCAUCAAUCUCUUCUACCAGCUUAUUGCAUAGGAGAAUUUUUCAUUGGUAGCGACUUUCCCUUGAAAUUUCAAAGACCUGUGCAUUUCUCUUGGGUAAGAGUCUGAUUUAGGCAAUGACUGUUUUCCUUCUUGUUAUUUGCUCCCUUUUCUUUGUGAAUCCUGGAGCAAAAGCUCCCAUGUCCAGAAUACAUUUAAUUGUGAUGCACAAUGAUCAGAGGUGCGAUGAUUUUUAUAGAGAUCCUAUUCGUAAAAUAUACUGCUUGUUUGCAAACCCAGGUCGAUAGAAAGAAUGAAGGGAGGGGGAGAUUAAAGAAGAAAGGAAGGAGGGAAGGAGGAAAGGAGGAAGGCAGUGGGUUGAAACAGGGAAUGCCACAUGUAGAAGAGCUCAGGCUAUGAACUUAGAAUUUGUUUUAAAUCUUGGCUCUACGACCUUACUUGGACACUAGAAAUCGAGAUGUAAAGACACAAUUAAAAGUACAUGGAAUCAGGGGUGCCUGGGUGGCUCAGUGGUUGAGCAUCUGCCUUUGGCUCAGGUCAUGAUCCUGGGGUCCUGGGACUGAGUCCUGCAUCGGGCUCCCCACAGGGAGCCUGCUUCUCCCUCUGCCUGUG